AAAACAAAACACAACAGACUCAUCGUUUCUCAUUGGAUCAGUGCUGGGGCUUCAAAGAGGCCUGCUCAUCCCCAUGCUCUUGCGACCCUUUGCCGGAUGCCUCCCUACAGCAGCCGUGCAGAACAGAACUCUUUCUAAAACGUCACCCACAGCAGACGCCAGUGCUUCAGCCAUGGCUUGAACGUUCUCACGUCUCCCACUAUUAUCUGCAUCUGAGUUCUCUUUACUCCCCUUAAACUACGACCGUGAAAGAGAGCGAUUUCUACAUCAUUUAGUUAUUUAUCUCCGUAAUACUCAGGAGUGAAAUUUUUAAAAGUGGCUACCAUUACUCUUGCUGCUAACAAUUGGCAGCUAUCCUGGGGAAGUGGUACGCGGGAUGAAAUGAGCCCCUGUAGGAAACAUGGCCUUUUCUUGUUUCUAAUAUUUUUUCGUCUUUGGUGUCAUCAGUCAAAUUAAUCUAUUUUCUCUUUCCACAUGACUCUCCAAAGUGAGAGAGAAGUUAAGGGUUUGAAGAGGCUGUUCUGGGCUUCCCACUGAACAUGGGGCUUAGGAUGUGGCUGGGCACCUGCUUCCCUUAACCCCUUGAGAUCUGAGAAUUCAGAACCCUUUCCUGUAGCCUAGCAAAAACAAAAACAGGAACAAACAAGGUGGGGGUGGGGUAUGUGGUGGCAUGGGGUGGGGGAUGUAUUACAGAAUACCAGUGCUGGUAUCAUGUUUCUCUUCCCCAUCUCCAUGUCCUAUUCCUCUUCUUCAUUUAUUAUUGUUUUAAAAAAUAACUCAUUGUGUCCAAUUAGUGGUACCUAUUCAUGGCACCAUCCACUAGAGCUUAAAAAAUACACAGACUCUACCUCAUGCUCAUGUAUACUCGAGGGUACAGACCUGACAGUAUACAGAAGACAAGAGAGAACAAUGUAAAGGGCUGAGAGAAAUACAAGUUCUGAGACUUGGGGAGGCACGGUCUCUAUGUAGGAUCCGUGAGUGCCCGGGCAUACUUGGAACUGACACCCGCCGGGACCUACAGGAUGGAGACCUAGCAGGUUAUUGAUUUUGCAGGUGUCUGAAUUUGAAGUGACAAAUUACUUGGUUACAGUCAGCUUUAGUGUUGCCUUCUUUACACAACUACACUAACACAUUUCUAGGCAACUUUGAGGACUCUUAAAAUUAAAACGUUUUAUAAAUAACAAAGCCACAGAGGGAAAACCAGGUGUAUUUACUAUUAUCAAAGUUCAUCUCCAUGUGCGUGUCUGAACAUAGCAACAGCAGCACAGAGGGAUCGCCUCAGUUACCCUGCUCCUCUGGAUCAUUUAGCUGCUGGCUAUGGUAUAGAGCUUCCAUGGUAUAGGACUUCUAUGUUCUAGAACUCCCAUGGUAUAGAACUUCUAUGGUAUAGAACUUCUAUGGUGUAGAGCUUCCAUGGUGUAGAGCUUCUUGUUCCAUCUCUGACUCCUUCCCCUUGCCCUCUGCUACAUGUGCUAUUCCCUCCAUCCCAUGCCAUUCAGAGAACACAGCCCUACACUCCUGCAGAGGCAGACUCAGGUACCUCACAUCUCUGUGUCUAAUCCCUUUGGGGGGGGGGUGAGGAUACACAGCCACCAAGUCUUGUGAAGCUAUGCCAGCCAUCUCAGCCAUUCCCCCGACACAUUCGUGACAUCCUCCUGCCGUAGAGGCUGAGGAUUUAUGUGACUUUAAUUGAAGGCUACAGAAGGGACAGGGAAACAUCAGCUCCUAUCAAUCACCGCGUCCCUUGCUUUCAUUGUGUACUUAACAGCUUGUUACUUAUUCAGGAGGGGGAUUCUGCACUGAGUCUGUCUCCGUGCAAACAGUCUUCCCAGGCUGAAGAAAGCCCUGAAACAGGGAGGUGGCCUCAUUAGGCACACAGGCCUGUGCCGCAUACCGAAACAUGGAGACACAGUGCUGAUGACCACGACUACAGUGGGGGAGUCAAGGGUUCCAGCAUCCUCCCGCUUUCCUGUCUAUGUCCCCGCAAGACUUCCCAGGCGUGUUUGACACCAUGGCCCUUUGUUGUGUUUUCAAAGCGAUCCUUGCUUGGCUCUUCUCAACAAUGAACUCUGCGACUGUUUAACUGAAAUCUCCUAUGGGGGGAACUUGAUGUCUGGUUUACUGUGCUCUCUUACAGAAUGCCUGCAGCACAGCAGACCCCUGAAGGAGCGAGCAUACGGCUGCAUGCACGUGAGGAAUGCUAACACUCAGUCUUGGUUCUGACUCCCCUUUUACCUUACGCCUCUACGCCAUCUGUAGAGGCUUGAGGACCCUUCAUCUUUAUCUUUUCUAAGGGCCAUCCUUUAGGGGGCUCAUUCAAGACCCAGUACGGUUAUCACCCGGCUCUCAGGUACUGCCUUGGCGUGUGAUGCUGAACUGUUCCUCCUGACCCCCAGGCAGAUCUCAGUCCCAAGUUUACCCGCCCAAGGUUUUGCUUCCCAACUUAGCUCAGCCCACUACCCUGGUGGUCGAAGUUAGGUUCCUACUUGCCAGUCGUUUCCCACUGAGCUACUGAUGUGUCUGACCCUGCGGACAGGCUCUUCUGUGAACCAAGGAAGAUGUCACCUGGGAACCAGUUAGAGGUCGCUUGGGCCUUUGUGUGGUCUUUAAAAUAAGGGGGUUUGCAAGCCAAUGAUGCGUAUUUUCUUAAUCCGUUUCACACAGAAGAAGGGGUUUUAGUGUGAGAUUUGCAAUCUUGUUCUUCAUCUAUUUCCCUAUUUCAACCUGACUACCUGGUUCAAAUUACCAACUGAUACCUGGGUAGGUUAUCAUGCAGAGAUAAGUGCCCCCUGCCCCACUGCGCCCCCAACAAUGGAGCAAACAUGACGGUCACCAUACAUGUGACUUCAGUAGUCCCUGGUGGGUGGGCAUGGAGUGACAGUGACCAUCAUGAGCCAACACAGUGAGCCUACAACCUUGAGCUGAAUAUACAAGGUUCCCAUGGGUCUGACACGCCCCGGGGAGUUUCCAUUCCUCUGCCCUAAACCUCUAGGGUUACUGGGAAUUUCUCCAAGGGCACAGGGAAGUGCUUGUGCUUGGAUUCAGAUUCCCCAAACAACAAGGAAAAAACCCAGGGGGCUCAGCGAGCCCCUCUGGAGGUCUGAACAGGUGAGACUGGCAGCUCUGCCUUGGGUUCCACUGGUGGUGGCCGAGUUGGCAGCCAUAGAGAUUUGCUGUGGCAGAAUACUUAAAGAUGUUCACACAGAGGGACAGAAGGGACAGUCGUUCAUUGUCCUCCUAUGGGACUCCAUCACUUGAAAAGUAAGGCCUAGAAAUUACAAUAUCAGCCGACUUCCAUACAUCCAUUUCCUUCACAAUGGUUGGCAUAUGCUGAGAAGGGAAUGCUCGGAGGGGCUGCUCACCACCACCCGGCCUUGCAAAGAACAAGGACACAGGAAGGAAGAAACGCAAUCACUAGCCCAAGGAAGAGACACCCAGGGAUGGGCACCAUUGUGUAGGAUGAGGUGAGGGAUAAUACAAAUUAUGAUUUCAGACCCUGGUAGGCAAGCUACACCAUGUUCUUUUCACAUCUGAAUCUCUGUACAGCAUGUUCUUGGUGACUACAGUCAAGGUCCUUGGAACACUCACAGUAGCUUACUUGAGUUUUUAAAAAGCCAGGUAUAAAUAUCAAUGCUGCUGCAGAGUACGCAGAAUAAAAUUUAACAUCUUUUGAGGGAGUCUUACUUCUGAGGCGCUGUUUGAAGUGCUUUAAGUGUCCUAUCUCGUUAGAUUUACAAUUCGCCAUCCUGUGAAAUCAGUCCUGUGGUCUCUGCCCUUUGCCAUACGAUCACAGACAGGCCCUGGGCAUGGCAAGUUUCUGGGAACAUACAGAUACUGAGCCAUGAAGUUGAGGGAGACUCUUCCCUUCCUUCUUUCCUUCUGAAGAUAAGGAGGGUCUCCCAGCAGCUGGGCUCUAGCUCACCCCCACUAUCCUCCUGGUUCAGCAGGUCAAGUACCAGAAUAAGGAGGCUGGAGCUUAGCUGACUGCCCCAUCUCAGGAGAACUACAGAGCAAGCAUCAGGAAGACAGGCAUAUACUCUGAGCCACAAGAGGAAGCCAGCAGAGAAACCUGUGUGUCCCACACAGAAUAGCCCUUGGAAAAGUGGUUUUACAUCAGGUCAGUUUCGCCUUUAAUGUGUUUGUUGGCCUCCUGCUGAGACAGAAUAGGUUCACCUUGUGAGCAGGCAAGCUCAGGCUGCCAGCCCUCAGCUCUUCAGAGCCACCCAGAGUUUUCCCAGGGCAAAGGCUUCCUGUCUCCCUCCCUUCAGUGUCCCCUACCUAGCUCUCAUGGUGGCAGCCUCUAUACCUAAAAUAUCAUAGUGCCUCAUGUCCCCCCAGUCCUCUCUGGGUUCCCUUAGUCCCCCCACCCCCGACCCAUACGCCCUGAAACCCAGCAAACCUGACCCUGCCUACAGUUGCCCAAUUGACGCAGAGCACAGUUCCGAACCCGUUCUCUCCCAUGCCUCUUUGGAGACUUUUCUUCCCUGUGAGCCACUCCGAGGCUACCACUCACACCUGUUUCAGUGUACCAGGCUGGCACGAUGCUUCAUGUCCUUUGUGGACACAGUGUGGCUUCUUUGGAAGCUUUUUUCAGAAUGGUCUAUGAAACGCCCCACUCCCCACAGCACCAGCCCAGCCUCAGCCUGGCUAUGGAAGCUGGGUGUGUCUGGGGUCCUGCAAGCGGUACCAGAGAGGCAAGGGUGGGAAAGCACCUCCCCCACUUUCCAGAGGCCAAUCAUUGUCUAAGGUAACCGUGAUUCCAAGUACAUGCCCUUUCACAGCUGGCCCACAUUCCAGGACAACAUCCAACAGAGAGCAGAGCCCUUCCAAAGGCAGAAUGAAUGGCUUUCCCGGUAUUAACUCCCUGGUGUUUAAUGUCCGUGGACUCUGCAGAGAGCCACCUCCGAGAAUCCUGCAGGCAUAAUUGCCUUUCUUGCACUAGACCAGACCUCCGCAUCUCAAUGUGGUUGUGGGGCACUGCCCAGAAUUAAGAACUACAGGAGUCAAAGAGACACAGCUGGAUUACUGACCCUAGAAGGACGGGGCGGCCUGCCUGCUCCAGACCUUGCUGGGAGGUGAAGGCUAUCGUGGGAAAAUGACUACGUAUGAGAGACAAGGAGAGUCCACUAGUGAGAGAGACAAUGCACUUAUUCUACGACGGGGUGGACUGCCUCGUCCUCAUUAAUGGUGGAAACUGAAGAGUAAUACUCCAUUUCACUAGGGACUGUUGUUAAAACAAGUCUCAAAGAGGAUAUAAGGAAUGGAACCAUUACCAGACCUGCAACCCACUGAUGAUGCAGAAGCCACUCGGCCAGGAAAACAAGAGAAGGGGCAACAGAGAAGUGAGAGGUGAGGGAGAGGCUUGCUUGGGGUAUGCUGGGUCGGGGCUCACUGGGGUCGGGGCUAGCUGGGGCCAGGCCGAGAAACAGAAGCUGUGCACUGAAGGCCAGUGUUGUGAUGAACUAAGACAGUCCUUUCAGUUCCACUGGGAAACAGUUUCAAGUGGCCAUCACCAUCUGAAGGCCAGGUAUGGGAACUCAUUUUUUCUUCAGAGUGUGGAAUGGGUGCCAGAACCCUGACAACUGUACACCUCAGGAAUGGCUGCCGUGGAGAGUGGGGUGCUCUCCUCGCAGCUUAGUGCUGACUACUCCUGAGGCCUGGGCUGGGUUCUGGGCUGGGAACCUAUAAGCCAAUCCACCUUUCUGGAACACAGAGAGCAUGUAUAAGAAAGCCAGAAUACUCUCCCAGACGUCACUGGAACCAUCUACUGUGCUGCGGUGACAGAGGCCCUGCGAUGUCUGACCCCUCAGAAACUCUCGCUGACUUCUGCCAUGUUCACAGUGAAGUCUGCCCUCCCAGAUGCAAAUCUCUGAAGCCAGAAAACCCCUCCAGGUUUCUCCUUUUCAAACUGUGGCCAGAGGGUGGCAAUCAAAACUAAUUCAAUAGGACACACCGUGGGGAGGGGAUGGGGCUGCAUGCACAGACAGGUACAGUACUGAAGUCGAAUGAGUUUUCACAAGACUGACUGUUUCUGAAGACAUAUCAAGAAAUGUGUUCUGUGGAAGAGGAGCUGGGCAGCCCUUUCCUGAAGAAAGAGACAGACACGUCACAGGAGAUGGGACAGCUGUGCAUUUGCCCCAUGGGACCAGCAUGACUUCCCACCUGGCUGAGUGCUCACCACACAGGUGAGCCUGGCUUCUGGCUCAUUCCUGUGUGUGCUUGCGAUUCUUGUGUAUCUUAAGCUUCUGCAUGGUAUGGAGCGCUGACCAGGAGGUUGGUACUAUCUAUUGAGUCAGUUAAUGAGCCUGGUCACUCCUCCUAAUGUCCUGGUUCUGACACAACCUUCUGUCCCUGCAGAAGGCUUCAUCUUGGCAGCAGGUGUGGACUCUUCUUGCCAGUGUGGCCUGACCAGAGACAUUUCUACCUCCUGUUAUUUUCUAGAUCCCCGUGAGUGCUCAUCAUCCAACAUGAGGGCCAGCACUGCAUCUUCUGAGACAAGGCAGAUGGGGAGAAGUUCAAGGGGACAGUGUCACACUGUCUGUCUGGAUGCUGUGUGUCCUCCCAAGGCAAUCUCUAAGAACCAUGCCAAGGCUUCUUAAAAAUGUCCAGCUCAGGUUUCUCCACAUGGAGGGAGUGAAGUUCAGGCCUUGAGCUUUUACUAAAGAGUUUACUUUUUUAUUGACUAGUGAAGCAGGCUCCCUUAGGGUUGUCGAGGCCAGGGAAGGGGGAGGUAAUUUUAUGCUUAUAUGGUGUCCGUUAGUCUCUGGGUGCCAUGACGCCCUCCUUCCUAACCAUGGAGCUGUGCUCUGUCUUAAGAGUAACUAAGGGCUCACAGGGAGGUGCCAUUCACAUGGGUGAAUUUGAUCCUCACCAUGUGAGGUACCUGUUCAGGGCCUGUUCUUCUGUUUCCUAGCUUGCCUUCCUCAUCUACAAUCUGUGGAUACUCUCGACGCCUACCUCUGUACUCACGCCAACAAGCUGGUGAGUUCUGCCCAGGGAUGGAGACCCAUCUGCAUAGAGAGCUGCUCUGCUGAGCUACCAAACACUCCUUCCACCUUGAUACACUCGGGAGGCUCCGAUAACUUCCAGGACAGCACAGGAUUUGAACCUUGUGACUAUGGAUGGUAUGCAGCUAGUGAGAGCGACUUCAUCCUACAGUGGCCAUGAGAUGAUGGAUGGACAGCAGAUGCUAUCAAUCUAUGGAUUCUCUGAACUGAAACGACCAAGCCUCUUACUAAGAUUGCUGCAGUUUGGAAUUCGAUAUCUUUUGGUAUCAAACCUACAAUGUGACUGUGAAUUACUGUUUCCACGUGGGAAGAUGAGAAUGUUCCCCCUGGUACUUCCUACCACAGUGAUUUCCCUCAUGCAUGGAUGAAGCAAUAAAACAUAUGAUGGGUUGGAACUCUGAAAAUGUGAGCCCAGGUAAACCUUUCUUCUUUUUAUGUUUGCGUAUCUCAGGUAUUUCAUCACAGUGAUGGCAAGUCCACCAACACAGGAUAGUAAAUAUUACACACCUAAACAUCCUCUUUUGCUAUUGAGCUUGGGAUCUAUAGAUCUUAUUAUUUUUUUUUUUUUUAGAUAAUAGAUCUUUCUACUUUCUUGAUCAUGGAAAGACAUACAAUAUCGUAAAAUCUAGAGACUUCUACUUAUAACCUAAUCGCUCUUAACCCACAAGAGUUAGUUCUUGGGUUGGAAGCUCCAACAGCUUCCCUACACCACCUACAAGGCCUCGGAUGCAGAAGCCUGCUGAUAAUGUCCACCUUCAAGACAAUAGCUGUAAGUCCUCCGCCUUCUGGGACAUUUGGAUGGAGACUGUCUUAGUUAAGGUUUUCACUGCCGUGAUAAAGACCAUGACCAUAAGCAACUCUGGAAGAAAGAGGUAACCCCAGUUCAUAUGUCUCAGGGAUACCAGGACAGGGACUUAAGGCAGGAGCCCAGUGCAGGGGCUAAAGCAGGGGCCAUGGGGGACUGCAGCUUACUAGCUUGCUCCUCAUGGUUUGCUCAGCCUGCUUUCUUAUAGAACCAGCCCAAGAGGUAGCAUUACCUACAAUAACCUGGGUGUUCCCACAUCCAUGUUCUGUUCUAUUGAUAUAGACAGUCUCGGUAAUAGCAACACUUGGAACCAAACACUGCUCAGAAUAGAUUAUGUAAGACCCCUUCCUUUAAUCAUGACCCUGUAGGAGGCAGGAAAGAUUAAGCUGGGGCCAAAGAGGCAAGGGCCAGAAUGGGGAGAGACUAGCUCACAGUGAGGUAUUAUGGUAUACCCACUGGAAAGGGUCAUGGUGCCAAGUGUAGGUGAGGGUGUCAUACAGUGUGAGCUGUCAGAUGCUGAUACUGAACAUGAACAUGAAAAGAAGAAGUAGCUAUUAUGGAGUAAAGAGGAAGAUCCAUCUUAUAUAUCAGUAGCAAGAAGUUGAUAUUAUGUGCAUCCUGGGGGCUAAAUAAGAAUGUGCCUAGCAAUACUGUUUACAAUCAACAACAACGUUACUACCUUAUCAAGUUGAUGCUAUUCAGUAACCACAAUGAAUGGACUACAGUUACGAACACCAGACUGGAUUAGCAGCAGUCACUACUCGUGCACAGUGACUGAGCAAUGGGCCAUGAGUACAGAGAGGAAAUGAUGUUCCUUAAUUGAAACAUUUACAUGCAUCACAUGUGUGUCUAUGGAGGCAAGAAGAGGACACUGGAUCCCUGGAACUUAAGUUGGGAGCUGCCUUGUGGCUGCUGGGAACUGAACCCAGGACCUCUGGAAGAACAGCCAGCGCUCUUAACCGCUGAGGUAGUACUACAGCCCCUGACUUUUUAAUUAUAUUUAAUGUCAAUGACUUUAAAUUUAAAUAACCAUAUUAGCUAGAUAUUUACUAUGUUGUGGACUUGGUAUGACAGUGUAAAACAGCCAACUUACAAUUUCCUAUUUACUACAUGUUAAAAUGACAAUAUUUGUGCUAUCCUAACUUAAAGAGUUAUUCUACAUCCACACUUUGUUUCUAUUUAGCAUGCCUAUUAUCAAUGUUCUGAGAUGUUUUAUAUAUGGCUCAUAUUAUACUACAGGCUACAUUUGUUUCUGGGAUGAUUUUGCUGGGAGGUAUUCAAAACAGAAGAAAAAGGAAAAAUUAUUACUAUAAGAUUCUCUUUCUCACAUAUGGUAUGUAUGUAUGUAUGUAUGCAUGUAUGUAUGUAUGUAUGUGUUACACAUCUAACUCAGAAGUCAUGGACAUCAUGCUAGGGAAAUACACUGUCACAGACCACAUCCCAGUUCAACAGUCUCUAUUUCAGUGGAUGAAGCAGCAGGCUGUGAUCAGAACAAGGGUGCUGGCUACUGUCUAGGUCUAGACUUGAUUGGUGGCUUCACGAACUUUUGCUUUAUAACAAUAUGUGAAAGCAUCUGCCUUCAGGAUGUUAUGCUGUGUGAAGCACCGUGUGCAACAGAAUAAAAAGGCAACCACCGUGAGACUCUGGCCCCGAGGUUUAGCGGCAGGAAACUACACAAAGAAAUAGAAUGGCCAUUAUUUGGGCCUGGGAUGAGUGAGGGACAGAGGGCUUUUUUAAGAAACUCUAUGCAGAGGUUCAUGUUUGCAAGAUGAAAAGAAUUCUGAAGACGGGUGGUGUGAUGGCUGUUCAGUUGUGCGAGAAGGCAAAUGCUACGCUGUGUGUAGUCCAUACAACUCAGAAAGCGUGAGUGCACUCAGUCCAUCUCCUCCAUCUCUACUCUAACCCUGACUCCUCCAUGGAAACGUCACCUUCAAGGAUGGCAAGGACACACACGGAGUUCCAGCCCUGAGUCCUUUGCUGGAACCAUGUCCCUGGCAUGGCUUGCUCCCUUUCGCUUGUGGGGUAUUGGCAGUAGUAACAAGGACGCUACUUUGGUGAUGGAGAAGUCACACAUUAUUGGCGUCUAUUUGCCAGACACUGCUAAGAAUUAGAAAGAGGUUCUGACAUAUUCUUGUGGUGUUAAAAUAAGAGUGAACAUCGAGAACUGAAUCUGCCUUCUAGGAAGGUACAAUUGUUCCUUGGUAUACGGUGGGGUUUGGUCUCAGAACUCCAUAAAUGCUCAAAUCUAUGGAUAUUCAUAGUCUUUCUAUAAAAUGUGUACAUUUUGCUUGUAACCUAAGCAAACUCUCCUGAGUACUUUAAAUUGGCUCUAUGGGGUACAAUGGAAUCGCGAGGUAAAUCGCUGCUCUCCCUUACUGUUUCUGGCAUAAUGACUGGAAAUUUGCACCCCUUCAGUAUAAGCACAAGUUUCCCUCCCAAAAUUUCAAUCUGAGGUUGGUUGACUCCUUCGAUGUGCUGCCUAGCAAGAUGGUGAGCUAACACUAUAAACAGGCUAGCCUCCAGAAGGAGCCAGCCUACAGAAAUCACAGGGAGGACCUUUACCAGUGGAAAGCAAGGUGGUUAUUGUGGGUGUGCUGUUUAGUGCCAAGUGUCAGCUUGGCACAGAUUAGAGUCACCUGGAAAAUGACCUCAGAGUGACUGCCAAGUUAGGUGGGCCUGUGAGCAUGAGAUGAUGUUAAUUGAUGUGGGAAGACCCAGCCUAGAGUAGGUGCCACCAUUCUGUGUUUUGGGAUCUCAGACUACGCAUGCAUGAGCUCGCUGUCUCCCUGCCCUUGAGUGUAGGUGUGGCCAACUGCUUCACUGUUCCCUGCCUUGGUUUCCCCAUAAAGACACUGUGACCCAGAACUGUGGGCUGAAACAAACCCCUUUUGCCACCAACUUGCUUUUCCUGUGGUAUUUUAUUAUAAUAACAGAAAGGGAAGGAGGCUAAUCCCUCAUCCUUCUAUAGGUUUGUGUGAAAAGCAUCCUUGCUAAAUAGCAAUUUAAUAAAUAGGAGGGUAUAUAACACACACACACACACACACACACACACACACACACACACACACACACACUGAACCACCAUGGAAAGAGGCAAUGUGAGUGACCCUUUUAGGUUCAAAGCCUCUGCUCAUUGCUGCUGUGGCUUCCAGCAUCUAACCUGAAGUCUAGUAGCCAGUGAACCGCAAAAUCAACAUUGACUUGUUGGGAACAAAUAGUUUGCAUCGCCAGAUUUUUUUGUUUUGUUUUGUUUUUGUUUUUCAGAUUCUACCUUCUCUUAAGUCAGAUAUGUACUGAGAUGAAUACACCAUAACCAUUCUUUUACGGAGGCGAAGUUAUUCUCUGAGGUAAUCGUGAAGCUGAGUCCUAGCAAAGGUUUGUAAGGAGAUGCCUAGCAGACAUUUCUAGCAUGUAACAAAUGCCACCAGGGUCACCCAGAAUGAAGAACGAAUGCCCAGACUCACGGACAGUCCCUGUUCUGAAGGCCACCAGCUGGGCCUUUCUAGGCCAAGGACCUGGGCAUUGUUGUUGAAUGGAGGAGGAGGAGCGUUCAGAGAACUCCACUGGUCAUGUAUAAAUUUGGGAAGUCCAACAGGAUCUACGGCUACCGGUUGUUAACCAUGGAAAUGGUAUGGCCAACACUUCAAAGACUUAGUGUUUCUGGAGGUCCCAGCCAGGUAAGUUUGAGAUGACUCAGACAUCGGCAUUAUUGACGCCCAUCUAAGCAUCUAUCCUAGCAUGAGGUUUUCCUCUGGUUAUGCCAAAGCUCUUUCAUGUUCUUAUUUUGUGUUGAAUGAAAACAUCGGAAUUUCCAGAAUCCCGGAUAUCUGCAUUUGAAAGACCUCAAUGGGGGACUCGGAGGUCCUUGACUUUGCCGAGCUUCAGUAAGGAGGGACAUGUCUCCUCUCUUAGGACUGUUGGGAGGACUAAGUACAACCAUACAUGUCAGUCCUGGAACAAGGCCCUGUUCAUUCCUUCAUCAGUCAGAUUUUCCUCGCUGAGACCAGACGCCAGAGAGAGAAACUCAGAGGAGCAUGUUCCAAAGCUUCUGAGGCCUUGGUCUGAUUCUGGCGGAGCAGAGGGGACAGAGGAAUACAGGAGAGGCCCAGGGAAAGCAAGCAGUAGCACUGAGGACGACAUCUCCAGUGACCGCUGCCUCCUGACUUUCACCAGUUCCCAAUGAGGCCGUCUAUGUUAACGGCUCUGGCAGGGGAAUCUAUCCACUGACAGUGUUAGAGUCCUCAGGAUCGGAUCAUUCUCCCAGACCCAUCAGCCGGGAACCAAGUCACUAACAGUUCCUACUCGGAAGACUCCCCUCGUUUGUGGGAAUGAAAGCAACAUUCUGGUUUAAGUUUCAGAACAGAAUUCAGAGCCCUGAGAGCAUGCCUUGUGCUUUGAGAACAGAAAAGCUUAGGAACUGAGAGCUCUAAGUAGCCGGCCCCUGGGGGUGGAGGUGGGGGUGAGGACCAGAACAGCGCCUAAUUUUGAAGGGAAACAGGAAGAGGUCUGAGUCACACUCAUCAGCUCUCACACCGGGAUCUCCAGGCAGCUACUUAGUAACUUUUCUAUCCUCCUCCUGUGCUGUGAAUCAAAGAGCUUAAGAUCCCAGGCUCUGGAGCCAGCCAGAAUUCUGGUGUGAACCCUAGUCCUGUCACUUUCUGGUUAUGAGACCUUGAACGGAUUGAUUAGUACCUCGAUUUCCCCUGCUGUAAAUGGGAUCAGUAAUACUGCGGACGUUUCACAGCAUGAGGGUUGAGUGAGUUAAUAAAAUGUGUUCACAAGAGAGGGAAUGCUAGCCAUCACAGUUUUAGGGCUGAAAAUGGCAUAGCCUAAGACCAGAUCAUUUUUCACCUGGACUAUUUCAUCUGUCUGUCUGUCAUAUAGAUCUAUGCUGACAGAAGUUUUUCUUUUUUCUUUUUUCUUUUUUUUUGG
rnacentral:sRNA from 1 species